GCCAUUGCUAUCAGGGUUUGACUAAGCCAUGCGAGUCGAGAGGUGUAAGACCUCGGCAUACUGCUCAGUAACACGUGGUUAACCUGCCCUAAGGUGGAGAAUACUCCCGGGAAACUGGGGCUAAUGCUCCAUAGUGGAUAUGUCCUGGAAUGGUAUAUCCUCGAAAGAUCCGUCGCCUUAGGAUGGGACUGCGUCCGAUUAGGUUGUUGGCGGGGUAACGGCCCACCAAGCCUUUUAUCGGUACGGGUUGUGGGAGCAAGAUCCCGGAGAUGGAUUCUGAGACAUGAAUCCAGGCCCUACGGGGCGCAGCAGGCGCGCAAACUUUACAAUGCGAGCAAUCGUGAUAAGGAAACCCUGAGUGCCUGUCGAUGCAGGCUGUUCAUAUAUCUAAAUCAUAUGUGAAGAAAGGGCAGGGCAAGACCGGUGCCAGCCGCCGCGGUAAUACCGGCUGCUCGAGUGAUGGCCACUAUUACUGGGUUUAAAGCGUCCGUAGCUUGACUGUUAGGUCUCUUGGGAAAUCUUCGCGCUCAACGUGAAGGCGUCUAAGAGAUACCGGCAGUCUUGGAACUGGGAGAGGUAAACCGUACUUCGGGGGUAGGAGUGAAAUCUUGUAAUCCUCGAGGGACGACCUAUGGCGAAGGCAGUUUACCAGAACAGCUUCGACAGUGAGGGACGAAAGCUGGGGGAGCAAACGGGAUUAGAUACCCCGGUAGUCCCAGCCGUAAACAAUGUGCGUUAGGUGUGUCGGUAACCACGUGUUA
rnacentral:rRNA from 1 species